UCCCUGGAAUCCCUCUGGGCACCCCUAGCAGAGGAUACAGAGAAUGUGGCAAAGCUCCAGGGGCUGGGGGCUGGGGCUCUAGGCAGCAGGACCUUCCCUUGACCCAUGGGUAUCUCUGUCAAACACUCCCUGCUUUUGGGGGGAAAUCUCUUCAGCUUUAGACGCUUGUGACCCCAAAGGAAGCCAAAGACGUGACCCUUUAUUCUGAUAAAGCAGAUGAUGGGCAGUUCCUCAGCCCAUGGAAAAAAAACCCUGACCAAUUGUUUUGACCUAAGCAGCCUCCAAGCAUGCUCUUUGCAGGGGAUAAGUGCAGGUGUUCCAGGAAUGUUCCAGUGCAGCUGGAGGUGCAGAUCUUACCAAAGAGGCAUCCCUCCUUUGGGAGGAGAGAGAAGCCAGGCUGUCUCUGGUCUGUAAAGGUGCUCAUAUUUUCAAUCACUGCUGGAUUCCUCACUGAAGGAUACAGAACUCAGAUAUGCUGUGCAUGUGAUGAAGAAAACAUAGUUCAAAAUUGCAUCCUGACGUAGAGGUUAGAAAAGCUGUUCUAAUACUUGUCUUUGUUUUCCACUGUCCAAACAAGAAAAAAAAUUAAAUUUAUUUUCCUCAUGCUGGGACAGUUUUGGAAGAGAAUAUCAUUCCAGCAGAACUACACUAAAAUACAUGACUGAUAAUCUUAUCUAUGUGUGGCAAACAUCUACAAAACAUAACAUUUUAUUUAUGUUAAGGCAGUGAAUUCUGCUGCUUAAUUAAUUCAGUAAAUAUGUUCUGGAAAAUUACAUGGGUCUUACGGCUGGGAGGAUGCUGUUAUUUAGAACAGGGUUAUCAGGACUGAGCCAUCCCUCACCCAAGGCUACAGCAGAGCACUUUCUGGUUUCUGGAAAAAAAUACUACUUCUUGUGUCCCUCAAAAAUACAGUAUUAUUUAAAAAUAAAUCAAAACACAAUGCAAAUUAUCCAUAACAAACCAAAAUAAAAUAAAACCAAAACAACCAAACCAAAAAAAACCCAACUAACCCCCAAACCACAGCAAACCUCUGAAUGAAUUGCAGCAUUACAUACUUAAUUAGACAUUACAGUUAUCCCCCAUACAUCUGGUCAAAUAAAGGAUCCCUGCUCUUUCAUGCUA